AAACUGUAGCAAUACAGUUUCAGUGGCAGACGGGUGAGUAACGCGUAGGAAUCUACCCCUAGGUAAAGCAUAGCCGGCCGAAAGGUCGGGUAAUACUGUAUGGUCCCGCAAGGGUAAAGGCCUUAACUGGCCGCCAAGGGAGGAGCCUGCGUCCUAUCAGCUAGUUGGUGAGGUAAUGGCUUACCAAGGCAAUGACGGGUAGCUGGACUGAGAGGUCGAUCAGCCACAACUGCACUGAGACACGGGCAGUACACCUACGGGUGGCAGCAACCAGGAAUAUUGGGCAAUGGACGAAAGUCUGACCCAGCGACGCCGCGUGGAGGAAGAAGGCCUUCGGGUUGUAAACUCCUUUUGCCAAGCUUUUCACAGCUUGGAGAAUAAGCCCCUACUAACUACGUGCCAGAAGUCUCGGUGAUGCGUAGGGGGCAAGCGUUAUCCGGAUUUAUUGGGCGUAAAGUGUGCGUAGGCGUUCUAUCAAGUCUAUACUUAAAGACCAAGGCUCAACCUUGGGAGUGGUAUGGAUACUGGUAGAAUUGAGGAUUGACAGGGGUGCUGGAACAGGUAGUGUAGCAGUGAAAUGCGUUGAUAUUACUUGGAACACCAAAGGCGAAGGCAGGCACCUGGGUUAUUCCUGACGCUGAGGCACGAAAGCUAGGGGAGCGAAACAGAUUAGAUACCUGUGUAGUCCUAGCCGUAAACGAUGUCUGCUAGGUAUUUGUUCGCAAAGUGCAUAAUUUUUAUUUGUGCUUUUUGCGAGCAAGUGCCGCAGCUAACGCGUUAAGCAGACCGCCUGGGGAGUACGGCCGCAAGGCU
rnacentral:rRNA from 1 species